UCUGUUAUUGACUUUUGAUUUCUUUCAAUCUCUCUAAAGUUUUUUAUAUACUCUGAAUGCUUAUGUUUUGAUUAUCAUAAUUCUACUUCUUAAGGCUUAUAACUCUGUUUGUUUAGGUGUUUAGAAAUAUAGCUUUGUGACAAACAGGUCAAUCAAUACCGAAUUUGAAAAUCAUUUUUUAACGAACUAUUGUUUUUUUUUUUGAAAAAUGUCUGUAAUGAAAGCAACAUUUUAGGAAAAAAAGGAGGUUUUCAAGUUCAUAUUUUAUUUUGGAUAAAAACGUGUUCUCCAAUCUACGUAAUUACUACACUUUCCAUAAAAUUGUUGAAGGCAUAAAUUUAGUACCGUUUAUGGAAAAGGAAUCAAUCAAGUAAUCAAGCAAUACCUAAACCAUAUCAAACACGAUUUUUUUAAUCGAGAAUAUAUCUUCCCAUUUUUUAAUCAGCCAAAUAAUUCGAUUUUACCUAAAUCACAUCAAACGCGAUUAUUUCUUCCGUAUCUCUCCCCUUUGGCUGCUGCCCGGUAAACCAAGCUUUCUUUCUCCGUUUUGAAGCAUCCCCUAAAGCUGCUGCAACCAAGCUUCCUAUUUCCCAUCUUUAGUCAACGCUAGACUCAACGUACUGUGGAAGGUAAGACUUUUUAAAUCGACCAAGAAUAUACAAAUCUUAAUCCAUCAAUCUAACUGCUAAUCAGUUUCAUUAUAAGGUUAGAAAUAUAUAAGGAAUGGAGCAGCCACAUCUUCCACCCCCUUCGCAAACUGCAGGUAAACAUAUCUAUAAUCAUCCUAAAAAUCGCCUUAUAGGAAUGGUCGUCGGUAUAUGCAUAUGUCGCUAGAUAUAUUAAUUGUAUUUCUUAGGCCAUAAACCAAGAUAUACAUACAUAUUGAGACAAAAGGUUAAUCAAAUGUUUAACGUAACUUUAAAAUAAAAAUUUAUAUAAUAUAAACUUUAAUAUUUAUAGGAUAGUGAUGCAACGGUUCGUGCAUGCAGUUAAUAAUUAACAAAGCUUUAGAGAUGCAAAGUCGAGUGUGACUUCUUAGAAUAUAUUAGUUAGUGCGCUACCUGUUUAAAAUGAAACAUGUGUUCUAUAAAUAUUACAAAAUGAUCAAAUAUUCGAUUUGAUGUGCUAAUAUUGUAUAAAAUAAUGUCUCCAGAAUUUUUAGAUUUAUAAUGAUCUACUUUUUUGGAUAGGAUCAAUACUGAUUUUUUAAAAGACUAAAUAACACCAUGUCAUUCUUAUAAUUAUUUACGUUCUUUAUUACGUUCGAAUUAUUUCUUAUGAGUAUAAAGAACAAUUCUAUAGCCAAUGAUAUUUAAUGGCUAUAUAAAUUAUGUUUCAUAAAAAAAUCAGUGCAUUGUAUGCUAAGUGCCUUUGUUUAGACAGACAAUCUUUAAUUGUUAGACAACUAUAGCCAUAUACUUAACUAUCACGAACGUUAGUUUCAAUUUUUCACAACUAAUAUAUGUAUAUAUAUUAGUUUCUAAGUCUUCACAGCAAUAUGUCUCGAGUUUUUUUUAACUGGAAAUUUGCGGAACUGAAAAUUAUAUAUGUAUUUAACUUAGAUCAGAAAUAAUAUAUAUAUAUAUAUAUGGUAUUUGUUAAUUUAUUCAUUCAGGAUCUUUUUUGAAUAUUGUUGUCUUACCGUUUAUUCAAUAAUUUUUAUACAUUGUUUUUUAUUCGUAAAUUUUCCAUUUUAUAUAGUUUAUUGCUAAUCUAAAACAUAUAUUAACUAUUCAUAGUUUGCUUAUAAAUCUCAGUUAAAAUUUAAGCUGAAAGAAAAUAAACUAACCAUCACAAGAAACUUAUAAAAUUAACAUUCAGGAAUAAAUGCUCAUUCACACCAACGUUUAAAGACAAAAAAUUAUAUAUUUAAACCCACCCUAUUAACCACAUUUCGACAAAGACUUCACCCCACACAAUUACCUCAACAAUGAGUGACAUACCACUUAUAUCUCAUAGAAUCUCGCAUCAAAGAAGAUCUACAGGUGGAAACCCUGAAACAAACCCAACCACGAGAUGUGUAUUGUUUGCUUCGGAAAUUACAACCAACACAUCAAUCUUUGUACUAUUACAUGCGGCCACAGUUUCCAUUUCCCUUGCAUUGAUCAGUGGCUUUGCAGAAACAUAAGUUAUCCUAUUUGCAGAGAAAGCAAUCUUUGAUGCCAAACUUUCCGAAAAAUAAAAAAAAGUCAAUUGAAUUCUGAAUUCUAAUAUCCUUUUGGUCUUCAUUUUAUUAUGCCAUUUUGUAUAAAAGUUAUUAUAUUUGAAAUCCCAUGUUAUUAUACACAGUUAAUAUUUUUAACAUAAAACUCAAUAUUCUAAUUUAAAUUUUUAAAAUAACAGAAAAACUAAUUUCUGUCUGAGCUCGAGACCAAAUCCGUACAAUAAUGUUUCUAUAUUUUCGGUUAUUAAAAAAUAACAUAAACAGUAACAUAAAUAUAAAAAAUAAAAAACAUUUUCGUAACAAUAUUUAACUACCUAUCAGUAUCUUAUUACAAUUUUUAAAUCGUAUAUCUUUUAGUGACAUCUUCCAUGCAACACAUUCCUCAAAGAAUCCACCAACUUCAAGAAGGGAUUUCAAUUCGUCCUAUCAUCGUAUGUAUAAGAAAUGUUUGGGACAUCAAAAAACACCAAACCGAUAGUACUCGAACUUCCAUCGGCUUCAUGUGCUACGACCACAACGUAAGCCUUUUCUAAACUUCUAUAUAUAUAUAUAUAUAUAUACAAAUAUCUAUAUAUUUCCCAAUCCACCAUAUUUGAUUAAAACUACUCACUGCUUCCUUAAUUGGUUCGGCCCUACAAAAUAUUUUUCACACCCAGGGACAACUAUUAGAAGGUCGGGUCACCGGAGACAUUCAGCCGAAUGAUUCAAAAAACUUAACUGAAGGAGAUAGUUAUGAGUUUUCGAGAUUUUAUGUCAUACAUAAUUCCCGACAACGGAAGCUCACCCAACUGCCGUACUAUAUUCAGAUCGGCCAAAGGACAACAGCAUUGAAUGUUACACUUGAUGGUCCGAUGUUCCCAGUUCACAGUUUGUCACCUCAGAGAUACACAAAUCUAUUGCGGUUAGCCAGUACACCCACAUACUUACCAGACGUCGUGGGACAGAUAGUCAUAAUACAAAAAAUAAAACUUAACCACCCAGAACUCAAUAUUGAUGCUACGAUUGGCCUACGACUGAACAGGUCAACGAUUGUUAAACUCAUAUUGUGCGACCAGCAAGCAGCAGAUUUUAGCAUCCUACAAAGCAAGAAGAAUAGAAAAUUUAAAGUUAUGAUCAUCACAAGCGUAAUUCCUAAACUAAUCCAAGGCAAACUUAUACUCCAUUCAUCACCAGCAACAGUUUUCUACUUCAACAAAUCAAUUGAUUACAUAAAGCAUUUCAAAAGGCGAAUUAGAGAUUAUGCAAAAACAUGCAGCACAGAGUGAUCUUCCUUCAUUCAUAAUCCGGAUUAUUAUUCUCUCUCUCAAAGAACUUGAUACCUAGAUUUGUUUUCAUUAAACUUUAUUUUAUGAUUGCUUUCCUUUAUUUUCGUGAACUUAUCCAAGAUGAGAUUUUGAUCUUUUUAAAUAAAAUAAUCUAAAUUCUAAAACUAAAACAAAUAUUUUUUACAAUAAUUAGUUAAUUUAUGCUAAAGAUGAUAAAUAAACCAAAAUUAAAUACAUAUCCGUGCUCAGCCAUGCAAGUUAGUGAGCAGUAAGGCAUGAUCAGAGUGAAUAAGAAGUCCACUAUAAAUAUGUGGUCGUUUGGAGAUAAAAUUGUGGAAUAAAUAUGUCGACGUGGACAGGCUAAAAACACUCUAUUUGUUACUUUUAGUAUAGAGUAGAUUUAUAAUUAUAUUUUUAAAUACAACAUAAAUUCAGGACUUACAGCAAUACACAAACAAAUAUAGAUAAACACAUUAAAUUCAGGGGGAAAAAAAUCUUCAUAAAACUUAAAUUUCCCAUUAUUAUACAAAUAUGGGAAAGCUUUUUUUUUUUUUUUGGUAUGAAAGCUUCAAAGAGAGAAAAUAUAACUGUACUAUUUUUUAUUCCAGUCUCUACUUUUUACAAAAAUCAUCUUCCUCCCAUAUUAAGCAGUUACAAAAGCAUUAUAUAAUUAAGAUUUGGUAAAGAUAUUAUACUAAAAACUUUUCUUAGUUCACAAAUAGAAUUCACUCACCCUGACCUGGCCACGAUUUCCUCAGUCAGGCGAGUGCACAUAGAUCAAGUCAACAAAAACAAACAAGUCAAAAAUAUUAACAUCCAUCCAUAAAUGCUAUUAUAGGUUUUAAAGACCUCUAAUUUAUGUAAUAUUACAAAACUCCAAAUUCUUUUAAUACAAUUAAAGUUUGACCAUUACAUAUAUUAUAAUAAUAUUCUAGCACGAUAUUCAACUGUAACUUUUCAACUAUUACACGUUAAAAAAUAUUAUUAAGUAUGCUUCGUUUUUUGAAAAUGGGGUGUUUAUAUUUUAAAUAGGUUAUUGGAGUACUUUUUCUUUUGCUGAACUUAUUCGAGAUAAGAAGCUAUUUAAAUUAAACUUUGUUGUUUUCAAUAUCUAAAAUAAAAUAGAAUUAUCAUAAACUAAUUAAUUCUUAGUUAUAAUCCAAUUCCUCAUCUUUACUCAUUUGAGUUCAUUUUUUAAAAUUUGUUUUGUAAAAAAACAAUUCAAGUUCUGAGUAUAUGAAAAUUUUAGAUUCUUAAUGAUCUAAAUUUUGGUUAGGAUCAAUACUGAGUUUCUAUUCUUAUUUGUAUGUUUAUAAAUUGUAUUAGCCUUUGCUUUUCAUUAUAUGAUUAUUCAAAAAUUUAUAUGGGUUUAUUUAUAUAUAAUCUAUUAAAAAAGAAGUCAUGAUACCUUUAUGUCUGAUUUUUUUUAUUUGAAAGAUUCUGAAAUUAUGUAUGGAAUUUUACAUAAGUUAGUUAUAACAUAUUUAUUUUUGUUUAACAUAUUAAUAAAUAUCCUACGAACAAUGUUCAACCACAUCUUUCAAAUAUGUUUUUAAAUGUUAUCAAGUUGUAUUUUCGAAAUUUUUUUUACAACUGUCCAAGUUGAAACAUCUUUCUUUAAUAAUUAUAAUUCAUAACCCAUAACUUCCUAAGACCAGGAAAAGUUUUAUAAUAUGUAACUUAUUUUCUAUUCAACCUAUAUUAAUGUUAUAUUAAAAAACUUACAUACUUUCAACUAUUUAACCCCAUGCAUCAUGUAUCUAUUUUACAACUCAUCCAAAAAUCUAGACAACUCCACUAAAAUCUAAACAUGAGUCUAAUUUCUUGGAUUGUACGCCACAAAACUUCACAAAGUCUGACAUCUCCAAAAAGAAGCAUCACCAUGAAUAUAAAGAGACGAAAUACACAACAAACGAAGAUCGUGAUCUCUAUUGACAUGAAGACAACAAGUAGUGGUUAUCUAACACACGAAACAGCAAGCAAUAUGGAGUUUAUGCUUGGUUACCACGAGAUCGAUUUUGACACGAUUACUGAGAUAAUCGAGGAGGCUUCCGCCGUUGCCGCACGCAAUAUCCCAACACUCAAUAAUCCCACCAAUAUUGAUUUUGAUAUAAUUGUUAAAAUAAAUGAUCUUAAUCCAGACGCUAUCCGCAGAAUUGACCUGGAUGUUUAUCUCAUCGAGCUACGGGAUAAUCGAAGGGAUACAAUUCCUAGCGAAAGAAAUGACAUAUGUCCAAUCUGUUGGGAAGAGUUUGGCACCGAACUGGAUAUCAACUCCUUGAGUUGUUAUCAUACCUAUCAUCAUCACUGCAUCUCGAACUGGGUUGAAAAAACUUUAACUUGCCCAUAUUGUAGAGCAGUACUUGCUUAAUACACAAUAAAUCCAUUAUCUUAUCUAAUAAUUGUUUCCCCUGUUUUAAAUUUUUAAUUGAAAAAGAAAUAAUAAUAAUUAUAAUUGAAUUGCAUCCGUAAAGAAUUAUUAUUAUUAUUAUGUAUAAAUAAAGACGUGUCGGGUUUUAAUUAGGAAAGUGGGUUUUAAAGUGAUACUAUGAUUCAUAUUUAUAGAAAAUUAAGACAGCCCCAUAUAUAUUAUUUUAUUUCGAAAUCUUUUUUAAAAAACAUGCUGUUAAUAUCUCUAUUAUAGCUGGAAAGAUUAACAUCCCAAAUCAAAUUAUUACUAAUACUACAAAUACAACAGUUAUUAUAAACCAAAGAUAGUAUUUAAAAUAUACUAACAUCACCAAAACAGUAUUACGUUAUUAUAAAGAUCAAAUCAACCUUCACAAAUAAGUCAAAAAAAUUAACAUCCAUCUAUAAAUGCUCAUUAAAACCAACAUUAAAAGAAUUAUAUGCUCACUAAAUUAAAUAACCUCAAUUAUCUUUCCAAGUAUUAUUAAAUUAUAAAGAUUUUUAAACAAAAAAAUAUAGAUAAACUUAGUGUAUUAUGGUAGUUAGUUUUCUCAUUUCCUAACAGAUUAUUUUGGCAAACCCAAAAUUACGAUCGUUAUUAAAUCCAAAGAGAUUUCUUUGAUAAUUUUAUGUUCUCAAAUUAUUAUAAGAGGAUGGAUAGAUCCAAAGAGAGAAAAUACAACUAUCCAAUUUUUUGAUUCCAAAACAAAAACUUAGAUACAUUGUCUUAAAAACUUCCCCUAACAUAUAAAUUCCAGCGAAACUGAAACACUUUAAAUAAAAAACUCAUAAAAUUAACAUUCAGUAAUAAAUGCUCAUUCACACCAACGUUAAAAGACAAAAAAAUCAUAUAUUUAAACUCACUUUAUUUCCCACAUUUCGACAAAGACUUCACCCCACACAAACACCUCAACAAUGAGUGACAUACCACUUAUAUCUCAGCGAAUCUCACAUCAAAAAAGAUCUACAGGUGGAACCCCGAAGCAAACCUUCCAAGUUUAUUCGAAUAAAAAAUAUUAUAUUUGAAAUCACAUGUUAUUACACACUUAAUGUUUUUAAACAUAAAAUUCAAUAUUCUGUUUAAAAUUUUUAAAUAACAGACACAUUAAUUUAUUUUUGAACUCGAAACCAAAUCCAUACAACAAUGUUUCUAUAUUUUCUGUAUUUAUAAUAUAUCAUUAACCACAUUUUGACAUUUUGGGAAAAAAAGCGCUGUCUAGAUGUGAUUGAGCAAGAAAAAGGAAUAAUGAAAGAUGAAAUUUCACAUAAAAAUAAGACAUCAUAUUUGGAUAUAUUUAAAAAAUACUUACAAAUAUAUUAUAUUCUUGAUAAUUUUAAAAUUAAUUAAACAGAGGCUAAAUUAUUAAAAAUUAAAAUACAAAUAAAACAAAAUCAAUAUUUUGUAACAUCAAAAUAAUAAUUGGAUAAAAAAUAUAUUAUGAUAAUAAGUAGAUUAAAGAUUUUGAAGAUUUCUAAUUUAUGUAAUAUUACAAAACUCCAAAUUUGCUUAUUACAAUUAAUAUUCUACUAUUAGAUAGAUUAAAUUAAUGUUCUAGAACGUUAUUCAACUGUCAGUUCUCAACUAUUACACGUAAAAAAAAUAGAAUUUAUAAUUAGAAAAAAUUAAGACCCACCUAUAUAUUAUUUUAGUUCGGAAUAUUUUUAAAAUACUUGCUAUUAUGAUUUCUAUUAUAGCUGGAAAGAUUAACUUCGCAAAUCAAUUUAUUUUAAAUACUACAAAUACAACAGUUAUUGUAAACCAAAAAUAAAAAUAAAAAUAUAUGAACAUCACCAUCACUUUUAAGCCCAUUUCCAAAAUCUAUUUAUUUUGGGAACCAUAUAACCAUUUCCUAGCUAUUUAUUCUACCCAUUACUAUUGUUAUUAGUUUAUUUAGAUCAUAGUUACAUUGAGAGUAGAACAAAAGAAUAUAGAAGUACAUAAAUUAAUACGUAUAAAUAAAAACGUGUAUCACGUAAAGAUAUCAAAUUAGAUUAGUACUAUACACGAAACAGUGUAUUAUGUUUUCAUUAUGAAAUUGGAUUAAUACUCUAUUUAAAUGGAUACUAAUAAUUUAAAAUUGGAAAAACCUAAUGACCCACAAUUAUUUUAUUAUAAUUAGAACAUUUCAAAAUUCUGUCUAGAUAUUUAAUUACCUUCUACUUUGAAUUUAAUCAUAACUAUAAUACAUUACUUAAUAUAACGAAGAAAAUAACAUUAUCAAAACUACAGGAGGAUCCACGCAAAAGAGGAAGCGAGGCCGACCACGUGGAUCACUUAAUAAACCAAAAGGUAUAUAUUUACUACCCAAAAUAGCUAAUCCUAAGAGAAAUUGUCUUAUCCCAAUUAUUAAACUGUGUACAUUUUCAGUUCAUCUGGUAAAUGACCGACCAUCAUUCAAACCAACAUAUUACGACUGUAAGUAUAUAUGGAUCAUAUUAUUAUAUCUUAAACCAAACUUAUUCAUCAAACAAACUAACUUCCCAGACUUAUUUUAACAGGUGGCUGUGAUAACUGCGACUCUUACAGUAAGAAAUAAUCCUAAACUGUGUAUCUAUCAUGCUAUAUUCUUUUAACCUAACCACUGUUAAUCUUAAUAGUCAAGCAGAAAAAUGCACGUAAUAUGAGAAAGGCCAUUUUGCUAUCCAAACGAACGUCGGCAUCGUCACGGGGUACGCAUAAUGGCUGAUAAAAUCUAUUUCGAUUUAUUACAUUUCUGAUUUAAAUUUAC